AUGUGCAGUGUCAUGUUUUCGUUAAACCCCUCGGUGCGCGAAUGGAUUGAACCAGCGGUCAACGGAGCGCGCGCGUUCCCGCUAUCUGUCACACGACAUGCGGAGGCACGACAGAUAAAUGUUUGUGGCUGGUAGUUGGCAAACAGUUCGAGCGAAUACAGCACACACUCAGUUUGGUUUGCCCGCUGCAUUCCUCAAAGGCAUAUUUAUUUUUGUGGAAUUAAUCGGGAGGAUUAUAUCGCAGGUGCGCGUGGAGAUAGUAUUAUUUUGGGAUAGUAUUUGCUGGAUAGGAAUGGUGUUGGGACGAGGAGGCCCUGUAGAUGUGUGUCAUGAAGCUUCUCAACGCCUGUGUGACCUCAUAAAGGGAGUGCUCUCUUAUUGAAAAUGAUGAUGCAUAAG